AUCAGUGGGUGAUGGCCUUACAGCAGAGGCCAUGGCUGCUUGGCACACCAAAGCAAGGAGUUUUCCGUAUUUGGGAGACAAUUUCCAUUGCAACCAAGCAGUGUGACUGCAGCACAUGGAGCUUGGUGAUGGGGAAGCUGUGAGGAUGUAGCAGCACUGCCUUUUGCAAGAAUGCCCCUGAGGUCUCCAACAGCUUUUUGAGAAGCACACAGGUCCCACAUCUUCCUUGUUUAAGGGGCAUCUGCUCACAUUAGGUCUCUGCCCUAGUUUGAAAUACCAGUUUUGCUCUGCCCAUAAAAUAGUGCCUUGUGAGCACCGCUCCAACAAUGACUCCAUGGAGGACAUAUGUACACCUCUGCUCUAUAAAAGACUCUUCCUGAACAGAAAGGCUUUGCAGAUGCAGCCAGAAGCUGGAAGAAAGGAAAUCUCUUCAGGUGAUAGAGCUCAGCGUUUUGUGAGUCUCAGAACUAUGGGUGACCAUCCAUGCUCAGAAGGGUCAUCUGAACCAGCAGAACUCCGAUGGACUCCACCAGGCUCAGCCAAGGGUCUCCUUCCAAGCCCAAGGAGCAGCAGCUGCCACCUUGUAUGGAUGCCCUAAGACUGACUUUCCUUCUGCAGAGCCAAACCUUCUCCUGAGCACUUGGGAAAGCUGGGUCAUGAUUCCUCUCAUUGAGGCACAAUCUUAUUUUUGGAGGCUGAGGUGGAACCAGAGGCACUGGGGAGGAGUAAAGAAAAGGGAAAAUCCACAGCUCCUUCCUAGCAGCUGGAUGCCUUUGAUGUAUGCUCACCCUCCUGAAGGGUGUUCCUCUGGCUGGAAGCACAGGCACUGCCCCAACAGGCUGCCUGCAACUUAUCCCCCAGGAAGGGGCAAGUGUGUGGAGACCAGAGAAGAGACUGAAGGAUGCAGAGAGCACAGAGGCCACACAGGUGUGAUCAGCCCAAGCAGCAGCUGAGUUUGCAGCUUUCUCAGCUUCCCCUCUUCCAGUGAAGGCUCCUGAUUGCUCUUGGAAAGCCCCAUCUGAUCUGAGAUCCAGAACCACUCUGUGCACAUGGUCCACUUGGUACCAAGAGGUACAGCCCAGAUGGAGAACAGCUGGAGCUCUAGAGAUCCCCAUUUCCAGCUCAGGUGCUCCCUCAGCAGCUGAUCCCAUCUGCCUGGAGUGACUGGUGGCAGCUGUCCCUUUUUCCAGCCAUGUUUGGUCAGGAGCUCUCACACACUGUCCUCUUCAGUGAGGCUCUGCUCCAAAGUUGGGGUACAGCGGCACUGUGACCCAUGCACAAACCCUGACACAUGGAGCUUGCUCCUUGGUGGCUCUCUCUGAGCUUUUCCUGUUUCUCCAUGAAGCCACCAUCAAGGAUGCUUUGCCCUUGUGCUCCUCCAUCCCUCUGGGACUUCUGAAAAUCAGCUGCUCUUUUAAUUUAGACCUCAGUCCACAAGUCCAGAAAUAAGCAAUAUUUCUAUUUCCAUAAAAGACUCCUUCUCAGUGAUAAGGGUGGUGGUAGUAGUAGUAGUAGUAAUAAUAAUAAUAAUAAUCAUAAUAAUAAUCAUAAUAAUCAUAAUAAUAGUAAUAAUACCAAAACUAACAAAAAAAAACCCCAAAAUUCCAAAACAAAAAUACACAUUCAUUGCUGAUUCUGGAGUAAGGGUUUGAACCCCAUUUCCUUAGUUCCUACAGAUAUUUGGCAGUACUGAUUUACUUUUGGUCCAUUUCACCCUGUUGGUAUAUAUUAAAUGGUGAGAUCUGA